AGGGAAAGAGGGAGGGAGGAAGAACACAGGCAAGUCGAACGGAAGCACAGUAAGAGCUUGCUCUUACGGGUGGCGAGUGGCGGACGGGUGAGGAAUACAUCGGAAUCUACUUUUUCGUGGGGGAUAACGUAGGGAAACUUACGCUAAUACCGCAUACGACCUACGGGUGAAAGCAGGGGAUCUUCGGACCUUGCGCGAUUGAAUGAGCCGAUGUCGGAUUAGCUAGUUGGCGGGGUAAAGGCCCACCAAGGCGACGAUCCGUAGCUGGUCUGAGAGGAUGAUCAGCCACACUGGAACUGAGACACGGUCCAGACUCCUACGGGAGGCAGCAGUGGGGAAUAUUGGACAAUGGGCGCAAGCCUGAUCCAGCCAUACCGCGUGGGUGAAGAAGGCCUUCGGGUUGUAAAGCCCUUUUGUUACGAAAGAAAAGCAGCAGGUUAAUACCCCGCUGUUCUGACGGUACCCAAAGAAUAAGCACCGGCUAACUUCGUG
rnacentral:rRNA from 1 species